CCAGGUAGGUCUCUUUUAGCUUCCCCUUUUUUAGAUGCUAUUUUUUGGAUGCUUUAAAUUGGUUCCUGCUCAGCUAUGCGGGAUAGGGAUUGGCCGAGAGCAGAGGGAGUCUACGUCGGCGGGCGGCUUAGCUUAGCGUGACGGUCCAAGCAGGCGGAGCGGCACCGACGCAGUGAGGAGCCUGCCUCCGCUGCUACCUCCCUCGGUGACCGCGACCGGUCCGGGGGCCGGCUACCUACGCGGCCCAGCAGCGAGGAGUCCCUGUCGGGGAGGACGGCGCGACCUAGUGCACCGUCGGAUCCCUUGGGAUUGGUCGGGGGCUAGAAGCGUAGAGAGGGACUUAGGGAGGAGGAGGGAGGGGUUUAGCUGUACCUAGAGCGCGACGACCUAGGGGAGGAGAGGGAGGGACUGAACGGCACUUAGAACACGACGCUCUCGACGAGGAUAGGGAAGGGACCGGCGGUACCUAGAGCGGUCGGUGGUAGCUUCCUUCGGGGUGUAUGGGUUCGAAUUACCCGAACGGUCGCCACAGCUCCAGGAACGGUACCGAGGCUCGGACCUCUCAUCUAACUCCACCUGAAGCCAAUGUUCCUUCUCGAGGCCUCCCUCUACUACGAGGUGAACUCUCUCGUUCUCUUCUAUUCUGGACAUAUCUUCAUGAUGAGGUAGACGUUCGCAAGCAACGACCUAAAGAAAGUGCGGAUACACCACGACACGGUACCAGCGAGAGGGAGGAGGUCCCUGACUCAGGUCUCUAUGUGUUGUAAGUUAAUACUACUAGAUCCUUUAAUUACUAGUAAGUCAGUAACUACUAUAUUUUUCUCCGUACUUCCGUUGUUUUCCCCGUCAUAAAACUAGAGUACAGUAGAGCGUGUAUCUAAUAAACAAGAAGAAACGUAUGGUAAAAUAAUCAAUAAAUAUAUAUGGGCCGCAUAGCGGUAUAAUGACAAAGAACUUUAACGGCAUAGCGGCCACGAAGUGUCGAUACUUCGUACUCCGAUGUGACUAGAUAAAAAUCUGCACGUGUACAAGAUAGUUCUUCAAGGUAAACGUUAAAAGAAUAUAUUCAAAGUAACUACUGUUAUUACUAGCUAGGUACAAGUAUCGAUUCAUGUACAAAGUGACCAUAAUGGUAACAAGUGUCACAUUCGUAUAAUUUAUCAAUAUACGAACAACGUGAUGUUUCACAUUUGAUAAAUAAUACAAGGUAGUAAACCGUCUCGUUUCAUUUAUUCGAAAAAAAAUCGGAGGUGGUUAAACAACAAGAGGAACACAACGAACCUAUUUUACUUUACGUAUGAUAUGACGAUGACGAUGGCUCUGAACAGUGUUAAAGACAUAGUGCACAAUGUUACUCUGACUAUCAAGUGUUAAGUCCACCUUCCAUUAGUUAAAGGAUUCCGAUUUGAAGUAUGAACUUAGAUGCAACACAUUACACACUGUUUACACUUGCAACCGUCGUAGACUAAACACGGGAAGGUUUAAAGUUUACCCCACUAAGGUUUCUUCGUCUAAUUUGAACGGGAGUCACGACACAAACCCUCUAACUUGUACCAAAUACAUACGGAAACGGUGUUUUAGACAAGAACCCCGAUUUCUAGUCGGUUCCCGGUACGAAUCGCUAGUAUAUAUUCUUGUUGAGAAAUUUGCCGAGUCACCUCUCUCUGUGCUUGCCCGAUAAGUAUUACCCUUUUCAAAACUACUCCACUCUGCCUCGAUUCCGACUCUACCUCCGGUGUAACAAAAGAUUUUUUUUCUACCUCCGCUGUGACGGACGCCGUCGCAGAGGUUCUACUUCUAGAUCCUGCACCUGCCUCCGUCCCUACUACGUUUAACAGGGUCGCAGCAACCGCCUCCUGUACAUCGACCAACACCCCAAGCCCACUUCCACUCAAUCUCCCUACUGGCCACCGUCGCCGCCGUUGAGCCCGUCUGGUCCCGCUGCUCCGACGUGACACCCACAAGCACACGGACCUCCUUCUUCCAAUGCCAGCCUGUUAAGGCUCUUAGUCUGGACGGUUAUACUCUCCAAUUUACGUUCUUUGCUCUUAUUCCGGGUACGGUUCCUUCCGCUCCCAGGACGCCGACCGACGACGAUUCCUAUCGUCCGUCAUCUCUUCAAAGAAAGACUAAACUUCACACGUCUAACCCUGUCGAGCGAAAGACACCCGUUGGUCGACUUACGAUUUUACAGUAUUUACCGACACUUGUCUAGCCUAUACUAAGCAUGUAGUCCUGAGUUCUAUACACUGGAGGUUCCUUUGACGUUUGAGUUCUAUACACCAGAACCUGAUCGUUCUAAACGUAGGUCACUGUGGGGAUGUUGUCAAAAGACCUACCUCGUCCUGGUACAGCGGUGGACUACCAUAUCUCGACUACUUGAGACAUUGCAAGAUAGUAAUGGUUCCCUGAUUGGUGCCUUAUAAUCAUGAUAUACGACUAUAACUGUUCGGUGUGAUGGAAGAGGUUACCGUACCCGUUGCACAUAAUACAGCUUCACACACCCUAAUAACUAAAAUACAGAAAUAAAAAUGAUUAUAUAUAAAUAUGUUCCUACUGUUAGUUGUUUUACACAUAAAGAAUAAGUUGGUCACAGGAGCGUACAUUUCUGUUCAUUACUAAGCUCGUGUACUCUUUCUUUUGUUAUGAAUUAUUAAAAGGAUACCCACCAGC
rnacentral:rRNA from 1 species